AUACCUUGCAUUCUGGCUAGAAGAACCCAGACCAAUAAGGUAAAUUAUCUCUCCACUAGGAAGUUGUUUAUACCAAAAAUGUUGUAACUGCUCUGAGUUGUCUCAUAUCGACAGCUCAGUGUGACUAUCUCCCCAACUGGACUGGAAAUGUAUGGCUGGUCUUGAGUAACUAUCUGGGCUACACUGGAUCCUGUGGGGAAAAUCAGAAAACAGAGAUGGAGCAGUGAAUAAAAUAGUAUAGGAAUUAGACUAAAAAAUCGAAGCUGAAAUCAUAAGAUAUUUGCUUCUCUUUUAGAAUACCUACCAGAGAAGAUGAAGGCCAGGAACACCCAGGGCAGACUGGAGAGUAGCAUGAGGCAUGGAUUCCCCUGCACAAAUGUGCCUAGUUCUGCCUCAAGCUGAGAGUUCAGUGUCUGAGUGCCUGGCAGCGCAUAUACAUAGUAUCUGGUUCCUGUGUGACUCCUUCAAACAGUAAUUAAAUUAGGCUGAGCUUGAAAGGGGGCUUUUCAAAAGCAAUUAUUUUAAAGGUUUGAACUGAGUGGAAUUGAAGAACAAACAAGUUGAUAUUUGCUUAUGAUAAUUCUACCUAGGAAUAUAGUUUAUUAAUCUUUUAAGCAAAAUUAACUUUGUAUCUCAUGGUUAUUUCUAUUAUUUUAUUUAUGUUUUACCAGUUUGACAUUUUAUUAUUUUCUUAUUUCAGUUUAUAUUAGUUGUAAUUUGU
rnacentral:lncRNA from 1 species